GUUUAGUGAAUUUACCAGAAUCGUCCAGAAAACAUGGGAAACAGCAAGUGUUCUUGCAGACUGCGUCGGAGGCACCCGCACGAAUACAAAGCUGACAACAUAGUUUUGCCUGGGCGGAUGCGCAGCAGCCGCACUCCGCCGCGGUGGGGUUAACAUUGAGGCUCAAGAUGACCAGGCACAUGAUCACCAUCAAAGUGGUAGUCCUCUUUCCCUCCAUUGCCUCCUCUUAGCUUGCUGCUACCUUCCUUGGUUACCUAGCUAAGUUUAUUGGUUUUGUGUUGAGAGGUGUGAUUCUUGAAUGGACGUUGCCGGCGGCAAUUUAUAGGCAGCUGAGCUAUGUGAUGAUAUGGACUAGGUGCAAAUGGGUGGUUAAUGGCAAGGAAAGGGGCGUCAGACAAAGCCCAAUGGCAACUGCUGACAUGCGAUUAAAUUCAGAUCCACAUCCGGCCAUUCAAUAAUACGGUUGGAGUUGUGGCACAGAUAUAUUAUUGCAUGAUCAUCAAGAUAAGAUCGUACAGUGACUGAGUGAGACAAUAAAUAGCCAAGUAAACUAUUUUAUCCUGCUGCAAGCUGCAUUCAUAAGUUUAUUUCACCUUUGAUCACAAUACUCUUCACACACGUACGUCUCAGGGAGAUCUCACUUCCGCUGGACUGCUCACUUCCGCUGUCGUCGGUACUGCCAAAGACAUAAGCUCACAUCUGCUAUUGCGGAGCAGGCCAAUUUGCUGCGGAACUUCGGCGACGACCUGAAGGACAUGAACUCGGUGCUGGAGUCCAUCUCAGCAGCGCUCUAGGACGCUGACACCGGUAGAAAAACGACCUUCCAUCGUCAACAAAAAUCCCGGUAGCUUUUUUACUCGGUACUAAAGAGGUUUUAAUCUCGUGCAAACACCUUUAGUCCGGAUUGCUGUUACCACGCAACCCGAACUAAAGCGUCCCCCACGAGUUACUAUAUAAGGAUUGCAUCCUUUACUCAGUCAGAUAUAAUGUGUAGGUGAGAUGGUAAGGAAGCUAUACGUGAGGCUUCAGGUUGUGGGUUCGAAUCCAAGGAGAAGUGGGUGCAGCUGUGGCUUAAGCGGCUGAGGCACGCCGCCAUAGACAUCUCAGAUUUGCUCGAAGACUACCAAGACACUAGUGAACCCUUAACAGUAAAGGUGAGUACUUAUGAAUGUCAGCAUCCAUGUUGUCCAUGCUUCCAAUGUAAUAACAAGAUGGACUACUCUUCCUAGCGGACUCUUCACAACCACUCGUAAAGCUAUACGUUUCUCAAUGCAAUUUCGUAGAAGCCAAUCGAUCCAACCAAGUGACUAAAUCAUUCAUCCUUUCCAAUGAUGUGCAUCAGGUUUUCUACAUGAAGGGCAUCUCUAGCAAACCCAAGAUUUCAGAAGAAAAAGAAAAAUCAUUGGAGCCAAAGAGCCACAUAGUUCUUCCAGGAAAAAAAAAUCAUGGGAGUCGAGAACAAAUCAAACCAAUCAGAGGAUUAUGGUCAGCUUAAUGGCAUGCCUCCAUUCGAUGUCGAAGUUCACCCAAGCAUCAUGUUAGCCAAACAUCAAAUGUUCGUGCGUUGUUACGGUAAAGAUCAAUUGUGUUUUUUAAACUCAUGGAAUUUUUUUUCUAAGUUUUUAUUACACUUAUUGGAUGUCUACACAUUUGCUAGAAAACCAAAAUAAUUUGGACUUAAUUAUUUCUUUCAACUGAAGUACUCACUAAAUUUCUACCUUUUUAUUUAAGCAAGAGAGUUGCUAAAAAAAAUGGAUACAUAACCAUGUUGUAUCGUACAAAGCAACCACAUUUCACAUAUAGUCCGGCUUACCAAACACCAUUUUUUACUGAACAUAGCGUACAUGAGUUAAGAGACAUGGAUUUAUUUCUAUUGCAAGUAGCAUAGCGUACAACCUGCCUGCACCGAUGCAGCUCAAUAUGCGAUAAUUUUUAUCUUCCCAUGUAAUUUUUCUACUCUAGUACAUAUUGAACUCCACAUUAAUGUCAUGUUCUUUGGCGCCCCAGACGGUUCCUAAAGUUUGGAAACAAAAUAGAUAGCCAGAAAUUUUUUUAAAAAAUAUUUAUAUGGAUAUUUGUAUGUUCUUUGCAAACUAACAAUAUUGUUUACCAAUAUCAAAAGGAAUAUGGCUAGGAGCCAUUGCCGCAUAUGGCAGGUGAUGGUAGAUGGCGUAUGGGAUUUCGUUAAUUUAAUGGUAUAAUAAGCUGAAAUACAUUUUCUAUUUGCAAAUGAAUCAUAGCUGAAAGUGGUGAGAUUGUUUUUUCGCCGGUUUAGCAUCCUGUGCACCGGUUCAACUGGAGGGAAGCGGUUCACCGAGACGGAUGACAAUUUUACGGCAGAAUCAUUACUUGUUUUAUUAUUAGGUGAAGAUUUUAGCUUUUAGGUAUCUCACAUUAACAAUCUGUUUCUAGUGUAUAAUGUAGGAGACCCGUAAAGAGUCUACACACACAUAUAUAUGUUGACUAUGAAUGUAAGUUUGUUGGUUUUAUGUAUGUUCAUUUGGAGUUUAUAUAAAUUUUACAUUUUAUAGUUUUGUGUAUAUGACGAAGAUCCAUGACUUGCAUUAAUUUAACCUUUCUUCCAACAACUCUUAUGCAUGCUGUUUCUAGGGGAGCGCACUGGUUGCAAUUUUGGUCCCCGAUAUAGCAUGAGGACUUAAGGGAGACGGGCACGUCGUAACCUUAGAUAUUUUUGCAAGAAGCAAAUUAUACUUUGCUUUUGAUUUUCUCCAUGCCAUUUGCUGACUCUUAUCCCUUUUAUUUAUCAUUAUAAGAUGAAAAUAUUGUAAAAACUUGGUUACGUGCGGUCGCAGAAGCUAGAGACUAUUUCUUUUUUUAAAAAUACGCAAGAGGGAGAAACUUGGUAACAGCUAGACAGUGAAGAUCGCAUUUCAUAAGAAAGAUGGUGCACGUUCUUGUUUGGCUGUUAACGAAAUGACUUCGUUUCACCACACCACCAGAGAGCCCCAUUGCACUUGCAGCAAAAGCGUGGAGCCGCUUUCAACCAGCGUGCAAUAAUGCAGUCCCGCGUGUCUUGGUCUUACAGGAUAUUUGGUUCUUUAGUCCGGACUAAAAUUCAUGUCGCAUAGAAUAUUCAGAUGUUAAAUAGGAGGACUAAACAUGAGCUAAUUAUAAAAAUAAUUACACAAAUGGAGGCUAAUUCCCAAGACAAAUCUAUUAAGUCUAAUUAAUCCAUCAUUAGCACAUGUUUACCGUAGCACCGUAUUGUCAAAUCAUGGACUAAUUAGGCUUAAUAAAUUCGUCUCGCAAGUUAGUCUCCAUCUAUACAAUUUGUUUUAUAAUUAGUCAAUGUUUAAUACUCUAUCUAAACAUUCAAUGUGACUGAAAUUUUAGGAGGUCCUAAAGAACCAAACACCCCUUAGUCUCCGCCUGAACUAUAGCAGGUGCUGGCAGCGGUAGCAGGGUCGUCCAUUAUAUCUAUGGAUGGAAAUGAUCUGAUUCGGAUGGAAUCGAAUUCGAAUAGCACUUUUUACCACAUACUAAUCUGAAUUGGAUGUUCUCGAAUGUGAAUGCAAAACGGAUAGUUCAAAUUUGAAUACUUUGCGGAUUUUUGCAUAAUAUUAAUCGAAGAGAAUUUGUUAAAUUUAGCCGAGACAUAAAUUUUUCUAAAUUCAAAUACUUUGCAGAUUUUCGAAUGCAAAUUUUUUCAUACGAUCUCGGUUGAAUACAAACUUUAUAUCAAAGUUGUAUAUUUAGAUUAUAUAUAAAACUUUGUAGUUGACCUCCUUUUCAUUUAAAAUUUUUUAAUAGCUCAAAACAUUAUUCUAAGCUUUCUAAUUUCAAAAUCUUGAAUUUUAAAUUUUUCAAACGACCUCGGAUGCAAACAAGCUCUAUAUCAAAGUGCUUAAUGAGAUAUAAAAUUUUGUAGUUGACAAGUUUUUUAGUUGAAAACAUUUAGUUAUCACAAACAUACAAGUUCUUCAUUUGAUGUCGAGGAUUGGAAGUGUUGAGUUUGAAGAAUAUAUUCUUUGAUUACAAACUUUUCCAUAUGAUCUUGGAUGAAUACGAACUUUAUUUCAAAGUUGCAAAUUUAGAUUAGACCAAAAACAGUAUAGUUUACAAUUUUUUCAUUCAAAAUUAUUUAGUAGCUCAAAAUGUUAUUCUAAACUCUCUAAUUUUGAAAUCUUGAAUUUUAAAAUUUUCAAAUGACCUCGGAUGCAAACAAGCUCUAUAUCGAAGUGGUAGUUCUUAAUGAGAUAUAAAAUUUUGUAGUUCCAUCUGAGAUCAUUUAACAGUCACAAAUAUACAAGUUUUUCAUAUGAUGCUAAGGAUCAGAAAGAUUAAGUUUGAAGGCUGUAUUUUUUUAAUACAAAUUUUUGCAUACGAUCUCGGAUGAAUACAAACUUUAUAUCAAAAUUGUAGAGCUCGAUGAGAAUUUAAACUUUGUAGUUGAUAUAUUUUUCAUUCGAGAAUGUUUAGUGGUCCAAACAUGUAUUAUAAGUUCAGAGAAGAAACACACAAUCGGCCACGUCAUCAAUUGACAACUUCCAAACUGAGCAUUCCUAUUGGUUCACACCUUUCCCUUUCAACUCGUCAAGCUUAUCUCCUCCCACUCCUCCAUCGUUCACUCCCCCUUCCCCUUCCUCUCUCCCUCCCUCCCUCCGCUCCAGCAGUGGCAGCCCGACCUGCCUCCUAGGACGGUGGUGUGCGGGGCUCGGGCAUCCCUGGCCUCUAGUGGCGUGGCAGGGCGGCCUCCAGCAGCGAUGGCGGAACUCGGCCUCCGGUGGCGCACAGGCAGCGCAGCCUACCUGGUCAAAGGCGGCGCAACAGGGCGACCUCCCCAGCCUCCGGCGGCGCGCAGGGCAUCCAUGACCUCCCCGGCCUCCCUUGCCAGAGGUGGUGCGCGGGGCUGCGCCGACCUCCCCAACCAGAGGUGGCAAGGCCCCAGCUUACGGCGGCGCGUGGCUCCCCAGCUAGGGUGUGGUGGGGCGGCGGCAAGUCAGGCGUGGCCGCGUGGGGGUGGGGGGAGGGGGUUGGGCUGGGCGGAUUCAGAUAGUAUCCAUUUAACCAUCCGAAAUGUGGAUAUCCGUUUAACAAUCCGUUUAGCAAAACCGAAUUUGGAUACUUCCACUUAAGUAUCCAACUAGGAUUCGAAUGCGGAUGGUCCUACCAUAUUGUUAUUUCAGCGGAUACGAAUAUGGGAUAAUUCGAAUAACGACUUACCCAUCCCUGAUUAUAUCCGUGUAAAUAAAUAAUUGCGGCAGCAGGUUCCCGUCGCCACGCCCCCGUCAAACCAAACAAUUGCUUGCGCGACACCGUGUUACUAGAUCUUGUACAGUACUCCCUCCGUUGCAGUACUCCCUAAUGAAAGUUGAGAAUCGAUCGACAACCACGGCUAGUUGCUAUGCACUCGAUCAGAUGGUCCAGGCGCCCGCUGGUAAUCAGGUCGUGGUUCACGCGCAUCAGGCCAGCUAUGACGUUGCCAGCAGUGCUCAGUACACAAAUCUAGCUAUCAGUCGGAUCCAAUUGGGCAGGCAUUUGCACUGUGGUUGUGUUUGAACCUGUAGAUGUCGUUGUCAUUAUCAGGCACCAUACAUCCUCUCUCAGAGGGUGUUUCACCCCCUAAACUUUAGCCCCUCUCACAUCGAAUGUUUUAGAUACUAAUUAGGAAUAUUAAACAUAGAAAAUUUACUAAACCCAUUACAUGGAUGGAGGGUAAACGGCGAGACAAAUCUAUUAAAUCUAAUUAGUCCAUGAUUUGACAAUGUGCUGCUAUAGUAACUAUUUGCUAAUGAUGGAUUAAUUAGACUUAAUAGAUUUUUCUUGCUGUUUAGCCUCCGUCUGUGCAAUUAGUUUUAUAAUUAAUUCAUAUUUAGUCCUCCUAAUUAGUCUCCGAAUAUUUGAUGUGACACGGACUAAACUUUAGAUAGCACACCAGGGACCGACACCAUGCAUGCUGAUUUCAUAUCAUAAUUAAGGAAAGUGAUAUCAUAAUUAAGGAAAGUGGUAGCAUCCAAGAAAUCGAUCAUGUUUCUUCCCCCUUUGGCUUUCCUACUAGGAUUUGGAUAGCGGGCCUUCCUACUAGGAUUUGGAAUCCGCUAUCGCAUGACUAUCUUAAUUAUGUCCCAUAGUCCAAAACUCACAAAACAUCAAAAAUCCAUCGAGAAUAAAUUAAGUAAAAAACAUGCGCACACAGAUAAUAAUAAUAAUAAUCAUGUUUCAAUAAAAUUGCUAAGAUUAGAGAUAGUACAUAAACAUAUUAGAUUGUUCGUGACACAUAUCAUGGUGGAUAGUGUCUGUGUCCUUAUUACAAGCAGCGAUAGAUGCUUGUCACCACACACACGCACGCACAGAUGCACGACAUACAUAUAGUUGAGACCAACGGAUGGACGUCCCAUAGGGUGAAUAAUUUAUUGGAGAUAAAUAUUAACAUAACUUGGCCAUAGCUUGAAGCAUAGCAACAUAUGCUUAUGAAUGGCAUUCAUGCGGGUAGCAAUGCUAUCAUAUGCUUUUAGGCUUGUCCUUAGCUUCUUCCAUCUUAUAGCAAACACUGCCAUUUCUUCCAUCUUAGCAGCAACUGUCAAAUUAAUUGAGAUAUGGAAAUCCCAUUAGCGCAUGAGUUAAUUUUGCAGUGGAAAUAGAGUAGAAGAUGUCUUCAUAAUGUAAGUAAUAUGACUCUGACAUAGGGAGUGAAGUCAACAAAUUACAUUAACGGAAAUGCAUGGAAGGCCACGCAUAUGUAUUAGUCCGAUAUGCUACAAAGCUUGUAUGUACAUAUAAUAAAUUAAAUGCAUUGAAUAGAGUGAUUUUAGUGAAUUUACCUAAAUCGGAUUAAAAAACAUGGGAAACAACAAGUGUUCUUGUAGGGCUUUGUUUAGUUCCCAAAUUGGGAGUAGCAAAGUUUGCAUUUUACCAUAAAUGCGCAACUAUAGCAUGUAGCAUUUUGUUUGUAUUUGUGAAUUAUUAUCCAAACAUUGACUAAUUAGGCUCAAAAGAUUCAUCUCGCAAAGUACAACAAAACUGUGCAAUUAGUUUUUGAUUUCGUCUACAUUUAGUACUCCGUGCAUGUACCGCAAGUUUGAUGUGAUGGGGAAUCUUGCUUUUCAAUAGUGACAAAGUUGGGAUUUCGGGGGGAAGGCCUGUGUCGGAGCCACAUGCAAGAAUGGCUGACAUUGAGGCUCAGACAAAGCCCAAUGGCAACUGCUGACAUGCGAUUAAAUUUAGAUAUCCACAUCCAGCCAUUCACAUUUAUGAGAUAUGGACACGGUGCAAAUGGGUGGGGUCCUGAUAUGGAGGUGCGAAUGGCUGUCUACUUGUAUAGUGUAGCUCCAAUGUACGUAUAUGUAUCUUAUGCAUGUAUACAGUUGCACAAACUCUGAACCAACUCUUCAUAACAGGUCUUUGUUACCAAGUAACUUUACUUUUGCACGUUUCAGCCGAGAGGUAGAAGAGAAUAUUUUUGCAUUUUCCAUGUGCGUCAGUGGUAGAGAACUAGGAAUUAGUUCCGGAUGGUAGGGCACAAAUCUUCCAAACAACUAUCCGAAAUUAAGCAAUCGAGAUAAAGGGUGCCAUCUAUUCUCUCCGAAAAACACAGGUACCAAAAAGAAGAAGAGAAGAGGGAGGGCCUCCCGUUAAGGCCCGCUCGGGGUCUCCAUCCCACCACGCGCCCUCCCAACCCAAAGCCCAUCGUUUUCCCUCCGUCCCUCCCCUCUCCAUUGCCGCCGCCGCUCCCCUCAUCCGAGCUCGAUACGGGUGGUCGGCGGCCCCUCCUCUCCGCUCCCGCCCCCGGCCUCCCUUUGACCGCCGGGCGCCGGCAUCACUGCCGCGGCCAACCCCAGGGCGCAGCGCGUGCCUCUAUUUCUCUCCCCCGUUCAAGGGCCCUUUGAUGGCGACGAGCACCCACCCACCAGGUAUGCCCUCCCCUUCUCUUCCUAACCCUAAUAUAUUCGGAUCUCACCCAGUCACAAUAUAUUACCUAAUAGCUUCGAUUUUGUUUGCAAAAAUCAUCACGUGCGCACCCAUGUCCGCUAGAUUCUUGCGCCUGAUCCUGUGCUGCUAUGGUUUGGGCGGGGUAGACUAGUUGAUUCGUGCACUUUUGGGUGCUUGUAGUGCUAGGUUUUGGAGGGGGAUAGCCCAGUUGAUUCCUCCGUUUUGGGUGCUCAUGGUGAUAGGAUUUGGAUGGGGAUAGCCCCAAUGAUUCGUGCGCCUUUGGGUGCUGGGGAUAGUUUUGGGUGCCUGGAUAGUCCAGUUUCAAUGUCAGUAUAUGCGUAUUUUGGGGAGAAUUUUGUUUUGGGUGGUUCUGGUGCUAGAGUUUCUGAUGCUUAGUAGCCCAGUUUCAAUCAAAUUCCCCCAUGGGUCGUGCACUACGGGAAACAAGAAAAUUGCCGAGUGUAUUUUUUUUGUCGAGUGUUUUUUUUCGAGCACUCAGCAAACAAGCUCUUCGCCGAGUGCCAAGUCAAAAACACUCGGCAAAAAAAAACACUCGGCAAAUCGGGGCUUUGCCGAGUGUCAAAUAAAAAACACUCGGCAAAGAAGGGGGUUUGCCGAGUGUUAAAAAAAACACUCGGCAAACAGGAGGGUUUGCCUAGUGUUUUUUUGACACUCGGCAAAAAAAUAAUUGUUUUUCCUCUUUUCACCUUGAAAUUUUUUCUACUCCCCACAUACAACACGUGGUACUCCAUGUUAAAAUUUGGUAUAUUUUUGGAUUUAUUUGCUAUAUUUAUUUAAUUAAUUGCAUUACAAGGAAAUUUUUGGUAUAAGUCAAAUUUGAACUGCAAGUGAUUCAAAUUGUGGAACAAAAUGAGUAGAAAAAUGAUAUUCAUGUUAUUUGGCUCAAUUUGAGACCUGACCCAUGAAAUGAAAAGAAAUUUCGAACAUCUUGUUCAGGAAACACGACAAUGAACAUGUGGCGGUAGUAUUUUUAAAUUGUAAAAAAAACAAGCAAAGUCUGAAAAUCAUGAGAUUUGUAGUUAUGUGAUGAUAUAAUACGUGGAAGCUGUGGAAAAAAAUUGGAAAGGUUUUGCACAUUUCAUCAUGUACGAUGAUUACAAACCGAAGCAUAUCAGAAGAAGAAUAGUAACUUUGAGAAGGAUUCGAUAAAAUUUAGAGUCGAAGUGACGGUCGAGUUCGGUUUGACUACAAAACUUUUUGUAUAGUCAGUAGAGAACAUAUCUUAUUUCGUGUGAAAAUUUGGUAUUUUUUGAAACUGUUGGAUAUUUUUAAUUUUUUUUUAAAAAAACUUUGCCGAGUGUCCUAGGGUAGACACUCGGCAAAGAAAAACUUUACCGAGUGCCCGCCUAGGACACUCAGCGAACCUUUUUUUAAACCUACCGGCUCCGGCCGGCCCAGCCCACAAACACCACCCGCCCCCCGCCCCCGCGCCUUCUUCCUCACGCCGCCCCCGCCCCCCACCCGUGCCUCCGGACCGCCCCCUCCUCCCCCUGGCCUCCCCUCACGCCGCCCCCCUCCUCCCCUAGCUCCCUCCACCGGCGGCCCUCCCUCCCCCGGCGCACAUCCUCCACUCCUCCUCCCCUUCCCUUCCCUCCCCUCCCCUCCCCUCUUCCUCCCCUGGCCGGAUCUGGCGCCCCUAGCUCCCCUUUCUUCCGCGGCCAGAUCUGGCGCCCUCCCGGCGGCGGGUCGUGGCGAUCGGGGCGGCGGCGGCGGAUCAGGCCGCGGGGCGGCGGCGGCGGCGGGUCGUGGCUACCGGGGCGGCGCCCUGCCCCUCCCCUCCCUCUCCAUCUCCGGCUGCCGUCCACCCCCUCCCCGGAUCCGCCCCCCUCCCCUCCGCGCGGCCAGCCCCUCCUCCCUCUCCGGCCGCCGCCCCGGCCCCUCCUCUCCCUUUCUCCGGCCACCGCCCCGCCCAUCUUCUCUGGAUCCGGCCGGAUCCGGCCGCCGCACAGCCCCUCCUCCCCGGAUCCGGUGGGCGCGGACUUCGUGGUGGUGGCGCCGGAUCCCUCCCCUCCCUCUCCAGAUAACUCCCUCCACUCCUCCGCUCUUCCCCUCUCUCGCGCGGCGGCCUCUCUCCGGCCGCCGCCCCGCCCCUCUCCCCGGAUCCGGGGGGGGGGGGACUCCGCCCCUCUGCCCCGGAUCCAGCUCCCCGACCCGCGAGUGGGGCGAGCUUGCUCAUGCGGUCGACGUCGAGGCCAGGGUGUGGUGGAGGUGGUGGCCGGCGGGUGUGGUGGUGGUGGCGGCGGCGGGCAUGGCGGCGCGGAGGCAAGGCACGGCGGCCGGUGGGAGGCACGGGUGCAAGGCGUCGACGGCAGGAGGCAAGGCACGGCAGCAUGGGAGGUGGUGCUGUGGUGGUGGUGCUGGCGGUGGUGGCGGCGGCGGAGCAGGAUGUGGUGGUGGCGGAGGAUGUUUUUUUUUCAAAAAUUUGUUGCCGAGUGUUUUCUCGGCACUCGGCAAAGACUUUACCGAGUGCCCGACACAAAACACUCGGCAACUCAGUGUUUGCCGACUGAAAAAUUGCCGUGUGCCGUUUGCCGAGUGUUACACUCGGCAAACGGUUCGCCGAGGGUUUUUUGCCCUUCGCCGAGUGCCCCUAGCACUCGGCAAUUUCACUAUCUCCCGUAGUGGUGGCUGGACUUAUGGGGGGAUCAUUGAUGGGGGACUAGUUGGAUACUUUUUGGCUGUUUUGGGAGUCCUUGGCAGCGGCUUCUCAGGGCGUACGUAGCCCAUUGUAGAUUCCAGCCGAGAAGAUUAAGGAAUUGUGACUGCAACCAUGUUACUUUUCUAGGACUCUGUUUCUGAUAUUGUUCCCGCUGCAUCUUUUCAUCCCCAUGGUGAAUGUUGCUGUUGAUCUGUAGAUUGGAUUUGUUCCUCGGUAGCUUUAUUAGAUUUGUGCUGAAUGAUAAUCUCUGCCUGUGAUAUUUUUCUUCAUUGCGGAUGUGUGCCGAGUAUUAUCCCCUUUGUUCAUUCUGUUGGCUUUUUUUAUUGUCUCUGUACUCGGCUGUUCAGCUUGUGCAGCUAAUGAUCUAAUGUAUUUUGUCGUAACUAUGUAUUUUUCGGAUGUGUGCCGAGUAUUAUCCCCUUUGUUUAUUCUGUUGGCUUGCUUUCAUUGAUCUUAAGAUAACUGGUGCUAUAAAUUCACACUAGCUGAUGCACUUGCAAAUAGCUAUGUAAAUAUGAAAAGAAGUAUUUUUUUAUCCUUUUGUUUGUUUGGCAUCAUAUCUGUUUAAAUGGCAUAGCAAUAAGAAUUUUUUGUUUUUGGGGAAUCAUAUCUGCUUAAAUGGUAUAGAAAAUGCUGAGUGCACUGUCAAAUAGAUUUUCCAGCAGUCUGCUUUCAGUUGUUUUUGCAAAUCCUCACAGGCCAGUGAACUGACUUUGUUUUUACCACCCCAUGCCAUUUAAAUGACUAAAUCAGUCAGCCUAAUACUAUAUAUGGUCAUGCUAUGAUCUUAUUUCUUGAAGCUCUAUAGGUCAACCCAUAAGGGUAACUUAGUUUUUCCUAUUCUGGCUGGGGAAGUGGAUACGAUGGCUAUCCUUGGUAGAGUUAAAUACAUUGGCGGCUCUUAGCGCGCCAAUGUGGCACCACAAUAUCGAACAUAUGUAGAAACCCCCUUGUUUUUUCUCAUAUCCCUCUCUCUCAGCGUCCUCUUCUCUUCUUCUCCUCUGUCUCCUCCCCUCCCAUCGCGUGCUUUAUUGCGCCGCCGCCAUCCGCCUCCAUGUAUGAACACGUCGUUUGUCAUGAAGAAGCAGUUGAUGAGGCAAUCAAGCAUGUGGUGCACAAGGUUCUUCUGCUGGCCAAGUCCGAGUCGAACAGCCGCGCAUUCAUUGGGGAAGCACGCGCCAGGCAUCACCAGGCUCCUCGUGCCCCUACUCUGCUCCAAGGACUCGGUGCUUCGACGCGCUGCUUUCCCUGUCCGGCGAGCGGGGAUCGUUGGGAGAUGAUCGAUGGAGGAUGGAGCUGAUCCUCCUGUACACGGUGCCGGUGGGGAGCAGGGAGCUGCGGAGCAGGUCCACGGGCGGCGCCAUUACAGCAGGUGCAGGCUAAGGGUAAUGAGCAGAUCGAGGCGAUGGAGGAGGACCCGCACGAGGUGCAGCUUCUUCGCCUCCUGCGCAAAGUCAGCGCCCAAGCAGCCGCUGAGGGACAGGCCGAGGCUUAGCUCGAUCUCAUCCGACUAAAUGGUGGCUGCACUCCCACAGUCCCACUGGUGCUCCUCCCUUCUGUCCGAACCUGCCGAGGAAAUCCCUCGAUGCCAUGGGUCCCGGCUGGACGACUACUCCUCCCACAGAUUGACUGAGGAAGAAGAGCUUCUCAGUGUCCAAAAAUUCAGUUACACUGGAAACAGCAACCAAUUACGUUCUUCCGGCUCAGCCAAGCCCCAAUCUCCUUGCUUCUGUGCGCCCCUGCUAAAUAUUCCAGAAACCAAUCUGGUUAGUUGUUUUUUCACAUUUUCAGUGCAUGCCGGUGCUGCUGUGUGCGGCAUGCAUGGAGUUGUCGUGGGAGUGCACGGUGGCUUAGCUGGUGCGCCAGUGCGCGGGCACGAACACAACGGUGAAGAUGGCAGGGCCAUCUCAAAGCUCCUGAGCACCUGCACGCGUCGCUGAGCAGGACAUGCUGCGACGGUGGGCGAGCGCUGCUAACGCCCUGGGGAAGAGCAGUGGGUGCAGAGAGAGGGAGCGAGGGAGAGGGGUUCUUGUAUAUGUUUGCUAGCGUGGCACCGUUUACGGUGCCCGCCUAAGUGGCAUUCACGUGUCAUUCAUCCCAAAUGGUGUUGCAAGGUUGAACCUAUUGUGGGAGGCUUUUGGUUUCCCUUGACAGUAUCACCAGUGAUAUCACUGCGUUCUGGUUAUGUAUGAAACACUUGUCCUUUUAAAACCUUUCUGAAUUUAGAAACGAAUUUGAAACAUUACCCUCAUUUCCAUGUUUUUCUAUCUUUUGUCCCUGUAAAAUCAAACUAAAUUUGAAUUAUUAUGUUCAGAACUACAAGCUGAUUUACUUGUCCCAUUUGCUAAUAACAGGGCCUUGUGAUUUCUAAUGAACAUUGCAGAGCAUGUUAUAAAGCGUAUGCAUGAACACCAAGGGGAUGAAACCAUUGGUAUAUUUCUCACAACCUUUUGAACUUAUCAUUUAGCAUAUUUGUGUUCUAGUGUGACGUUUCAGCCACGAGACAUGAGAAAUGUUAGCUAUGGAUUUUGGUUAUUCAUCAUGGGUUCACAGAUUUGUUUUUCUCUAAAAGAAUUGGGAAGUAGCUUUCUUUCUGGGUAUAUGUGGGGAAAUGCAUAUGCAAUCUUUUAUUUAUUGAGGUGACUGUAAAAUUCUUGUCUGACUGAAUAUGCGAUUUCAACCUACAUGCUAUACUUAGGGAAAUUUGUGAAUCUCCUAAUGUCUGCUGCAUGGCAUGAAUGCAUAUUUUACUGGUCCAUAAUGUGAAGUUCUGUAUAUAAACUUCUCGUGUUGACCCUUUAGAACAUGCUAACUGGAGAGUUUUCUAGAGUAGUUAAACAAGAGAUUUAGUUAAAUCUGCACACAUAGGUGGGGCCUGGCAUACCCUAAGAAUCGGCCUAGCCGGUCAGCCCAUUAGUAAAAAAAAAAGCACCGCAGUCAGCAGUCCCCACGUUGGUCUUCCUCGAGUCGCGACUCGCGAAGCUCCCAUCCUCCGAGUCCAAGAUGGUGGACUGUGUCGAGCGCGGGGCGGGCGAUUAGUUGCCCGGCCGCCGGCGGGGGAUGGCCGGACGGCCAGAUCGCCGACUCCUCUAGUCCUCCCUCCAGCCUCUGCGCUUCUUUCACAGUGGAGCUAGCGGCGAGGCGCCCGACCGACACCCUUCUUCCCAAAUCCCGGCAGCCCUACCUCGAUUUGGCCUCCUCCGAUCAUUUGAUAAUCAAUUUGAUGAAAUUAAUAUGGAGUUGCUUUCUUGUAUGGUUGCCUUCAAUCCUGCUAAUUCAUUUGCUUCAUUUGAUGCACAAAAGAUACAUAGACUUGCUAUAUUUUUAUCCACAAGACAUCACAAGCACGGAUUUGCUAAAACUUGAAUUCCAGCUCGAUAUUAUAUUGAUGAUGUGAGAUAGGAUGAUAGUUUCAAAGGCCUACAAGAUCUUGUUAACUGAGACUCAGUUAAGCUUGUUGAAACAAACAGGCAUAAUAUUUAUGACUUGGUUUACUUGCUUCUCAAAUUGGUAUUGGUUCUUCUUGUGGCGACAGCUAGUGUUGAAAGGGAUUUUUGUGCAAUGACUUUGAUCAAGAGUAAGCUAAGAAAUAAGAUGGGUGAUAGUCUUUUGGAUGAUUGUCUUAUCACAUUCAUUGAGAAAGAUAUUUUCUUUGAAGUGGAUGAAGAAGAUAUAAUUAAGACUUCAUAUCCAUUAGAAAUCGUAGGCUGGAGAAGAAGUAAUAUUUUAAUUUUCUUUGAACGUUAGGUCUGUAAGCUUCUUUUAAACUAUCUACAUUAUAAUUUAUGGACCUUUUAAUUUAACCGUUGAAUUCAUGAUAUUAUGAGAUUUUUUUAUCUAUGUUAUUAUUGUUUACCGAUUUAUUACCAAAUUAUUAGUUUGAUCUUACAAUAUUGUAUUUUGGAUGAUUGGCUCGGCAUACUCUAAGUUUAAAUCCUAGCUCCGCCACUGUUUGCACAUUAAUGUGGCUUAUAUGUGUGGAGUCACUUAACCUAUGCACUUGGACCUCCACUCCCUUAGGUUUUAUGAACCUAAUUUGACAGCCUGCUCGUCUUUUAUUUUCUACCAAUCAGCUAGGAACGAACAUGGUGAUGUUUGCAUCUCUGCCAUCAAUGGCUUACAUGUCAUUAUGUAUCACAUUAGCAAGUCUUGUUUUGUUAUUGGCUGGGAUGACGGGGACUCUAGCUGGAAUUGAAUCAAAGUGGUAGAUCACAGGGUAUUCAUUGCCAUGUAUUUCUGCAGUUGCAUGGACUUGCAUCAAACGGACCUUCCUACUUAUGUGAUUGUCCUAUAUGAUCUCCUUUGAUUUCAUUUGCACACUGUAAUCACAUUAGCUAGAACACUCGCUUUUUGCUUCAAAUUUGAAAUUCAUAUCAUGAUGGACUAGAACGCUGAAUUUCUUGAUUGCUGAGUUACUAAUCACAUUGUGGCGCUGCCAAAGAAGCUGGACUCUUCAUUGUUGUUGCCUUGUGGGCUGCCGUGUGCAAAGAACAAGAGCGCACGGUAUUAUAAUAGCAGAGCAGAACACAGACAAGCGACAAGGAGCGGAGCAGAGCAGAGCACAGCCAGGCACAAGCAGUAGAGUAGAGCAGAGCAACCGGGAGAGGAGAGGGCACAUAUGCAGAGUAGAGCAGAGCCAAGCGCAAGCAUUCAUGCACUCAAGCAUGCAGCAGAGGUGUAGCAAGGCAAGCACAAGCAGCAGAGCAGAGGGAAGGGAAGGCUGGGAGAUGAAUAGGCGAAUAGUUACCUGGACAGAGCAGAGGGAAUGGAGAUGAUGCAGAUGCUUCCGGAGACUCGAGAUUUGGAGAGGAACAAGGCCACGUUGUGAACAAGGUCUCCUUUCUCUUCUCUAUUUCCCGCGCAAGUACUUGUGCAUAGUGGCUGCCUCAUCCUCCAGGACGUCCACUUCAACCUGAGGCGGGUGCCACAGACAUCCUGGCUAUGCGACGGCUACCCCCAGCACACCCCCGGCGCCUAUGAACCAUGAUCCUAAUACUAUAAAUUGUCAACCUUGUAAUCUUAUUUCAAGCAUGCUCUCUAUGUCAACCUGUAAGGUUAACUUCGUUUUUCCUUUUCUGGGUAGGGGAGUGGAUAUUGCUGUUAUUUAUAUUAUGUUGAUAUUGGUUUCCACAUGUCAUUCACCCCAAAUGUGUUGCAAGGUUGAACCUAUCAUCGGAGGAAUUUUUUUCCCUUUACCUUUAUAUCACUACGCUCUGGUUAUGUAUGAAACACUUGUCUUCUUAAAAACCUUAAUUUAGAAACAAAUUUGAAACACUAUCUUCAUUUACAUCCUGUAUGUGUUUUCUACCUUUUGUCCUAUAUGAUCUGCUUUGAUUUGAUUUGUGCAUAGUUUUUUCAAUUCAGACCUGGUGAUUUCUGAGGUUCAUGUUGUGCUGAUAAGCAGCCUACUAUUCAGUAACACUUUCAUGUGGCAUGUUCAUGUUAGCUAGCUAGAAACACUGCUUUUAGCUUCAAAAUUCAAAUUCAUGACAUGAUGGACAUUGACAAUGAAUUUCUUGAUUGCCGAGCUAUGUACACUGUAAUUCAGACCUGGUGCUUUUAGUUUUUUUCUUGAUUGCCGAGCUAGAAACACUGUGCUUUUAGUUUUUUCAAUUCAGACCUGGUGAUUUCGGUUUUUUCAAUUCAGACCUGGUGAUUUCUGAGGUUCACGUGUCACACCGAUUUUAAGAACAAAAUCGAGUGCAUUAAAUAUACAUGUACGCUAGGAUCAGGUUACACACAUGUACGACAUAAGCGAAUAUCAAAGACAAUGCCAUAACGAAAUAAAGAGAGUAUUAAUCAUUAUUACAUGACCGAAAGUCUCAAAUAAACCACAAAAUCUAUUUAUUACAUAGCGGAACUUCUAAGAUAGCAACGUCUCCACAGGCAGCUGACUGAAGAACUGUAUGCCUAGAACUCUUCAAAAUCGUGCAGGUACUCCUCCAGAUUAGCUUGGUAUGAACAACGGUUUUGCAAGGGUGAGUACACUUAUGGUUGGUACUUAAUAAGUCGUGGGAAACAAUGUAGUGUAAGGCAAAUCAAGGUAUGGCUAAGGCUUAAACAGCAUCAGCUUUUAAUUUAGUUGGUCAAAUUUUAUUAGCAAUUAAUUAGACGUAAAUUUAUACCACCCGAAAUUAAACAAGAACAUGAAUAAAAUAAUAACAUAACCAUAAAUGAAAUGACAACAAUUUAAAUCCAUCUUUUCAUAGCAUUAUCAUGUGAGGGUCCAGUCCGUUCUUAACCGUGAGCACCGCUGAUCGAUCAGUUUUACACUCUGCAGAGGUUGUACAUCUUUACCCACAAGUCGCGUAAAAGUUCAAAAGAAUUUUGGACCCAACCAUGCGGUAUUUGCAAGGCACCAUACCACACUUCCAAGGUGUGAUUGCAUAUGAACGCUACGAGGCCUUUACAAAGAUUCAUUAGUAAGUGGUAACCCGCUAAGGUUUCGGUAUUUGGCGUGCACAACCUAUCACAGGCCGCUAAUGCAACGACUCAGUCCCCCCUCUUGCCUCAUCACGAGUAAGAUUACCCCAGACUAAGGUUUCUAAUUAUUCAGCCAAGAUCAGAACCAUUUAGUCUUGUGGUAGCACUGUUUUCCUGGGUGGUUCUCCAUGUUCCGAUUAAACAUAAUGGUCUUGUAUUAAUGGAAGGUAUAACAUAAAUAAUACCAAAUUAAUAAUAAUUCAGAUUAAAUCACCAUAACCAUAUUUGAGCACUAAGCAUGAGCUACCCAACAUAAAUUUAACCCGGUUGGUCAAGGCAAGGUAGAUAAAGUCUAGGAAAUUCUUAAUUGGGACCCAUCAAGUUUAAAUUAUACUUUGCAUGGUAUGUUGCAUAGAACAUGAAAGUAAAUGUGAAUAGGACUGAAAAGGAGUGAUUAGGGACACGACUUGCCUUUUUAACCUUGUUCUUGCUGUUCGUACUCUUCGAAAACUUUGAUCUUCAAAUCCCUUGAACUGCUGACCGUCUACACGCGUCACACGACCACAUACAAGCAAACAAAUAUAAUACAUAAGAAAACAGUACACCAAUCAUAAUUAAAUAGAAGAAACAAAUUUGAAAAGCUAUUCUACGCAUUAAAACGAAAACACGGAUACAAGGAACGUUAAAAACGGAGCUACAGUGCAAAAACUACGCUUAAAACAAGAUGCAGGGGUAUAACUACGAGAAACCAAACUUCCAGGGAUUUAAUUUUAAAUAAUUUUGAACUGCAGAAGGGGCAGCAGGGCAAAACGUAGAAAAUGCAGGGGCUUAAGCGCAAAAGCAUGGCUGCUGACUCAGCUGACUUGAUGUGGAUCGUCGGAUGGCGAUCCGGCGGCCGGCAGCUGCUGCGCUGACGUCAGCGACGGCGAGCGCCGGCGAAAAACGGCAGUUCGCCGGAAUCGCCCGGGAACGCGCGACUGGGUGCAGAUUUGAGCGAGGAUUAGACUAGCAGAUAGAAACGAGCGCAGUGAACUCAUUUGGGAUGCCUACGGCGAGGACUUGGCGACGGCAUCGGCUCCGGCGAGAACUUGCGGCAGGGAAACCAAAUAAAAUAAAAUAACACGGUUCAGAGAAGCGGCGCUGGAGGAACGCGAGCGAUUUUGCGUGCGAGCGGAAGAAAACACUGCGAGGAAGAUGACUGCGGGCCCUGCUUGUCUGCGGCAGGAGGAGAGCUGCGUGCGAGAAGAACCUGGCCACGAUCUGGGCCGUUGCCUUCGAUCUGGGCCGAGGCAAGCUAGCUGGCCCGCUGCUGCGGAAAGGUGCUGGGCCACGGGCGGAGCACAGCGUCGGGCCAGAAAGGAGAUGGCUGCUGCGAGGAAACAAAAGAAAAUGAACUGGGCUGCGACAGAGGAAAACUGGGCGUCGGCCAGAAAGAAGCUGCGUGCAGCUUGCUCUUGUUUCCGAACUAGAAACAGGAACUGACGGAAAGACAGAAAUCAAUUGGAGACUGAAACUGACGCCCCAGACUCUGAACUUCGAAAAAACAGGACAACCAGCCAACUGACAGAAAAAAAAAAGCUUAACAACCCAAAAGCAGUACACAACCACGAAACCAGGCCACAAGACUGAAAAAGCUUGAUAGGAACAUCUGGCGACUGAACCAAAAAACUACAGAACUGCAACUGAAGAACUAGAGAACAGAUAAAUAACUGAUUGAACUCUGAAACUGAAACACCAAAGAGCAGGAAGCUGACUGACGGAAAAUGCAAAACAGCAACCCAAGGUGAAACACAAAUUCUUCUUCAAGCAUUCAAACAAAGAGAUAUGCAACAGCAUGAAUGCUCAAUAAAAUCCUAUAUUUCAUUAAUUAAUUAGAAAAAAUGCUCAAAUGCCUAGAAAAAUGCAAAAGUGACCUUAUAUGCCUUAAACAAGCAAAUUCGUUUCUAGCGAUUUUUGGUAAAAUGCAAAAUUAGAGAUUUUGGGUGUUACAUCAUGUUGUGCUGAUAAGCAGCCUACUAUUCAGUAACACUUUCAUGUGGCAUGUUCAUGUUAGCUAGCUAGAAACACUGUGCUUUUAGCUUCAAAAUUAAAUUCAUGACAUGAUGGACAUUGACAAUGAAUUUCUUGAUUGCCGAGCUAUGUACACUGUAAUCACAUUGUGGGGCUGAUAAAAUAAGCAGCGUUGAGACACAUAACAAUUGAAUCUUAAGCUUCACACAGAAUCUGGACCAGUCAUCCUCAUUCCUGUCAUGCUGGAAAUGUCUUUGAUACAUUUCAAUCACAGGCAAUUGAAUUCGUACUGGGGAGGAUGGCAAUGGUGCAUGAAGAGAGAUCAAUGUGGCAAAUCUCACAUUGUUCAUUACCAGGUAUCUCCGAUUUCUGGUUAUUUUAAAUUUACCUUGACAUGUGACUUAUUGAGGUAUUGUAUUUCAUCUAAUGGUAGUUCUGAAUUUAUGGUAACCUUGGAUGGGGUUUGUCACUUUAUACACGCACGGACUUACAAAGGACAGCAAAUGAGUAUAUUUAGAGGGCUCCUGUCCAACCAUGGACUAUACUUAUGUACCCUUUUUUGACAUGGUAAUUUGAGGUUAAUGGAAAAGUAGCGAUAGUCGCCUCCAGCGAAGCUACCUUCUUCGAAAGCUCCGAGGCUGCUUUCUCGCUCUUAGCAAGCCGAUCCCUCGUAAUCAUCGAAGAGUAAGAGACCUACAGAUUUUAAAAACCAAGUUACCAAAAAUAACGAAGUAAAAGACAACACUCGCAAGACAAACCACCAAACUAUCUCAUAAUUGUACCUUCUUUACGAGGUUCGCCUCCAAGUUAAAGAGCUCUUCCAAGAUCAUUGACUUCACAGCUUGCUGAAAAUCUAUGCGCCAAAGGAUAUAGUCGUAAGCAUAAAAUAAAAAUUGGUAAAAACCAAGGACAGCAAAGCCAUCUACAAGCUGUUCUUACCCUCAUACUUUCGCACCUCAACGGCGAUCGGAACAACCUUCUCUCUAGCCUCGCCCUUAGACGCCACCACAAUCUUCCCGCCACACAAAUCCACAACCCCUCCUUUACCUUUGCCCUCUCCCGAAGUCGUCGUGCCCGCCUUCUCCACCCUUUUUGAACCGCCAACAUCUGCAUAGCGCUCGCAACCUUCACCUUCAGCCCCCCAGACCAAAGACAGGUUGUGAGGAUUAUAAACCCUACCUUCGGCGCAUGUAGCUAGAAUCUCCGUGCGCCCGCUCAAGCCCAGACACUCAUUCAGUCCCUGAAGCCCCGCCGGCAACCUCUCACCUACAUCAUAACAUUCAACUUUUAGCCUCACAUGAUCCUCACAACUAACCUUACCAACGCCCCCCAUAGUUUCUUCCAAGUCCUUCAAAAAUUUCGUUGAGGCCUCACCACAAUCAAAGAACCGUAGCAUCGAUAGAAACACCUCUACAUGCUUACCAGAUCUCACAGCUUCGGCACACCCACCCUUUGGAUCAGAUGAGAACGCAUCCACAAGCUUCGCCUUUUCGGUGGCAAACCCCCUCUCAAGUUUCCCAACAUCAGUCAAGAGAUGUUGCGCGCUCUUAAACUUCGAGCUUAUGGAAGGCACCGUGAUCUUGGUACCAGCUGCCGAAGACGCGUCAACCUUGGCACCCGUAACAGUAACAGGAGCAAAUCGAGGUUUCUUGGCGCCUCUUUUGAUCCGUGCGGCGGGCCCGGUGGAUGAAGGUGCAAGAGCUGGAACCUCCUUAGGAGGGCGCAUAGAGACAGGAACAACAUAUGCCGGAUUGCUCAAGUCGCCAGACGAAGCUGUCGACCACGAUGGCAACAUAGCAGACGAAGCCCCCGCGGUCAUUUCCUUCCUUUUUUGCGCCUCCAAAUUCAAGGUCUUUUGCUUCGCCUUAGCGGUCACUUGCAAUUCAAUAGUGAGCUUCACCAUGGGUACGAAGUCAAAUUUUGCCUUUUUCCUCUGCUCAAGACUAGCACCGCGACGGCGCCUCUUGCCCGUAACUUUGGGGUGAGGCAGAACCACAAUAUCAUACAAGUCAAAAAUCUAAGAUGAUGACAUUCCAUUUGUAUCCAUGAUUUAUAUUGUGUUCCUUGAAUAUCCAUUAAAGUCUACUUGAAUUGAUUUGCAAUUAUGUGAAUUGUAUGUGAAACUCUUUCCUUGUAUGGUUAUUCUAAAGUUGUCCCUAGUCGGAGUUCAUGUGAGGACACAUGAAUAUUAGACUAGCACAUGUAUUAGUUGAUGACUAUGUUUCACAAGUCAUGGACAUGAAGAUGUGGAACUAAUAAUGUGGGCACAUGUGGAGACACGUGCUAGGACUGACCCAACACGAGAAGUAGUUCUCUCUUUAUACAACAUAUACGCUUUGUCCUUAGACCUGAGAUUGUCGCAUGUACUCAAGAUGUGGAUCGACUUACUUAGGGGCUAUCAAAUUCUACGCCGUAACAGGGUAGUUAUAAAGGUAGCUUUCGGGUUUGUCAAGAAGCAUGCUAUGAGACAUGGUCAAUCAAGAUGGGAUUUGCCCCUCUCUGAUUGAGAGUGAUAUCUCUGGGCCCCUCGAGUGAUCGGAUCCGAAAAUGCAUGGCCAUGCUACAUACGAUUAAGAGUUAGCCUACAAAAGGAUUCCGAAUCAUAGGAUCGAGAAAGAGCGGUCGGCUUGAAGCUAGACCAAAUAUCGUGAGGCAAAGGGAAUAGCAUGUAUAUAAUGUUGUGAUGGUUCGUCUGAUAUGAUCUUCGUGUGCGUAUAGGAGUUGGCACGUCUUGCUAGAGGUCGCUACCGACUAUUGGGCCGAGUAGGAGUACUCAGGCCAUGUCUAUACGUAUCCGAACCCAUAGGGUCACACACUUAAGGGGCUGGAAGCCCAAUUCGGAUGUGAUCCGAAUUGGAUUAGGUUUAGAAGUACUAAUGGGCCUUGGACCUAGAGGCCCGUUAGGAACCUCUAUAAAUAGAGGGGUGGGGGCGCCCUAGGGUUUACACCUUUUUGGUGAAACACAUCUGCCGCGCCUCCCACGCCUUCGCCUGUUGCAACUCGCGGACCUAGCAGUCCGGCUUGCGACGCUUCCUCCCUGCACGUGUGGAUACCUUGGAAGUGUUGCUCCUGCAGCACUUGGACGAGCCGCCAACGAGCCACGACGAGCCACGAUGAGCCGACGAUGAGCCGCGGCACGAGGGGGAUCUUGCUGCACGUGGACGAGCUGCUGAGGAGCUGCUGGACGUCGAUGUGUUCGACUACGUACGACUACGCUGAUCGACUUCGCUGCAUCAACGCGAAUCUACAUCUUCCGCAUCAUUGCAUCGAGUGGUAAUCCCGUGAUCCUGAUACGGCAGUUUUCCUAGUUUACGCGGUAGAAAAUUUUGUUUUGUGCUAGUGUAGCCUAACUCAUAUCCCAACAACGUGUGCUAUAGGUCACGCAAGCCUGAAAAUGGCCACACCGGACACCGGGUACGAAAACAUGGGGGAUGGACCGAACAUUUGAAAAUGGCCUCCAUAUGUGUUUUCGGCUAUGAAAAUGUGUGUUAUAGGUCACAGAAGCUUGAAAACGGCCGCACCAGCCACUAGGGACGAAAACGUGGGGGAUGGACCAAAGACAUAAAAAAUAGCCUCCAGACGCGUGUUCGGCCAUGAAAACGUGUGGUAUAGGUCCUGGAAGGCCAAAAACAGCUACACCGGCCACCUGGGACGAAAAAGUUUGUGUAAGACCGAACACUUGAAAAUAGCCUCUGGACGCGUGUUCGGCUAUGAAAAGGUGUGUUAUAGGUCACACGAGCCCCAAAACAACCACAGCGAACACCAGCUACAAAAACAUGGGGGAUGGAUCGAAUAAUUGAAAAUGGCCUCCAGACGUUUGUUCGGCCAUGAAAUCGUGCGUUAUAGGUCGCGGGAGCCCGAAAACGGCCACACCGGCCACCGGGAAUGAAAAUGUGGGGGAUGGACCGAACAAUUAAAAAUGGCCUCCGGAUGUGUGUUCGGCCAUGAAAACGUAUGUUAUAGGUCACGGGAGCAUGAAAACGGCCGCACUGGCCACUGGGGACGAAACGUGGGGGAUGGACCGAAGACGUGAAAAUAGCCUCCAGACGCAUGUUCGGCCAUGAAAAUGUGUGCUAUAGGUCAUGCAAGGCCAAAAACAGCUGCACCAGCAACCGGGGACGAAACCAUGGCUGUCAAACCGAACGCUUGAAAAUCGCCUUCGGACGCGUGUUCGGAUAUGAAAACAUGUGUUGUAGGUCACGCGUGCCCGAAAACGUCCACAACGGACACCGGGUACAAAAACGUGGGGGAUGGAUCGAAUAACUGAAAAUGACCUCCGAACGCGUGUUCGGCCAUGAAAACGUGUGUUAUAGGUUGCGGGAGCCCAAAAAUGGCCACACCGGCCACCGAGGAUCAAAACGUGGGGGAUUGACCGAACAAUUAAAAAUGGCCUCCGAUUGUAUGUUCGGCCAUGAAAACGUGUGUUAUAGGUCAUGGGGGCCCAAAAAUGGCCGCACCAGCCACCAAGGACGAAAAUAUGGGAGAUGGACCAAAGACAUGAAAAUGGCCUCCAGAUGCAUGUUUGGACAAAAGUGUGUGCUAUAUGUCGUGCAAGGCCAAAAACAGCUACACCAGCCACCGGGACAAAAACGUGGGUGUUUGACUAAACAAGUGAAAAUGGCCUCCGGAAGCAUGUACGGCUAUGAAAAUGUGUGCUAUAGGUAAUGGAAGGCUAACAAAAGCUACACCGGCCACCGGGGACAAAAUCAUGGGUGUCAGACUGAACACUUCAAAAUGGCCUCCGGACGCGUGUCCGGCUAUCAAAACGUGUGUUAUAGGUCAUGCGAGCCCGAAAACAACCACACUGAACACCGGGUACAGAAACAUGGGGGAUGGACUGAAUAACUGAAAAUGGCCUCUAGACGCGUGUUCGGUCAUGAAAACAUGUGUUGUAGGAUGCGGGAGCCCGAAAACGGCCACACCGGCCACCAGGGCAUGGACCAAACAAUUGAAAAUGGCCUCCGGAUGUGUGUUCGGCCAUGAAAACGUGUGUUAUAGGUCACGGGAGCCCAAAAAUAGCCGCACCGACCACUGGGGAUGAAAUCGUGGGGGAUGGACCGAAGAUGUGAAAAUGGCCUCCAGAUGCGUGUUCGGCCAUGAAAACGUGCGCUAUAAGUCAUGUAAGGCUAAAAAUUGCUACACCGGGACUAAAGCAUCCCCCAUGAGUUACAAUAAAAGGAUUGUAUCCUCUACUCAGUCGGAUGUACUGUGUAGGUGAGAUGGUAAGGAAGCUAUGCGCGAGGUUUGAGGUUGUGGGUUGAAAUCCUACGCACCGCGCGCACACGCGCAUAUUUUGUGUGAAAAAUCAUGUGACUUGUGAUCGGCCAAGGAGAAGUGGGUGCAGCUGUGGCUUAAGUGGCUGAGGCACGCUGCCAUAGACAUCUCCGAUUUGCUCGAAGACUACCAAGACACUAGCAAUAACAAGAACUACUGCUCUUCCUAGCAGACUCUUUACAACCACUUUAAAGCUGUGCAUUUCUCAAUGUAAUUUCGUAGAAGGCAAUCGAUCCAACCAAGCGACUAAAUCAUUUGUUCUUGCCAAUGAUGUACAUCAGGUUUUCUAUAUGAAGGACAUGUCUAGCAAACCUAAGAUUUUAGAAGAAAAAGAAAAAUUAUGGGAGUCAAUAAUAAAUCAGGCCAAUCAGGAGAUUAUAGUAAGCUCGAUGGUAUGCCUCCAUUCGAUGUCGAAGUUGGCCCAAGCAUCAUGUUAGCCAAAGAUCAAAUGUUCGUGCAUUGCUACGGUAAAGAUCAAUUGUGUCUUUUAAACCCAUGGAAUUUUUUAUCUAUGUUUUUAUUACACUUAAUGGAUGUCUACACAUUUGCUAGAAAAUCAAAAUAAUUUUGACUUAAUUAUUUCUUUCAACUCAAAUACUCAUUAAAUUUCUACCUUUUUAUUUAAGCAAGAGAGUUGCUCAAAAAAUGGAUACGUAACCAUGUUGUAUCAUACAAAGCAACCACAUUUCACAUAUAGUCUGGCUUAGCAAACACCAUUGUUGUCUUAACAUAGUGUUCAUGAGUUAGUAGACAUGGAUCUAUUUCUAAUUGCAAGUAGUGCAGCGUACAACCAGCCUGCACCGCCGCAGCUCAAUAUGCGAUAAUUUUUUAUCUUCCCAUGUAAUUUUUCUACUCUAGUACAUAUUGAACUCCACAUAAAUGUCAUGUUCUUUCACGCCACAGACGGUUUCUAAAGUUUGGAACUAAAUAGAUAGCCAAAAAUUUUAAAAAAAUAUUUAUAUGGAUACAUGUAUGUUCUUUGCAAACUAACAAUAUUGUUUACAAUAUCAAAAGGAAUAUGGCUAUGAUCAUUGCCGCAUAUGGCAGGUGAUGGUAGAUGCCGUAUGGGGUUUCUUUAACUUAAUUGUAUAAUAAGCUGAAAUACAUUUUCUAUUUGCAAAUGAAUCAUAGCUGAAAGUGGUGGGAUUGUAGAACCGCCGGCCAUCGUGUCCUUGUAGGACCGCUGCACGAGCCUGUGAGCCACCAGCCACCAUGCGCCCAAGGGCCAUCACCACGCCAUAAGAGGAUGCUGUCUACCCGGUUUCGCGCGCCUGUGCUAGCUGCCUGAACCUGGGCCGCCGCCGGUCGCCUGCCCAGCCGCGCGUUGCGCCAGGGUUUUGCUGGUGACGACCAUGGCCUUCGCGAUCAAAUUAAAAAGUUAUCAACUGCAAAGUAUUAGGUCUCGUUGAGCUCUACAAUUUUGAUAUAAAGUUUCUAUUCAUCCGAGAUCAAAUAAAAAAUUUGAUACUCAAAGCAUAAAUCCAUUAAUCUAGUCUUGCUAAUCCUUACCACCAAAUAAAAAACUAGCAUGUGUUGUGUGUUUGUGACCCUAAACGAUCACAAAUGAAUAACUUAUGGGCCUUGCUAGCGCCCGGAUGUCCAGGCCGGGGCACUAGCAUCAGACCCACGAGUAGCCGUCCGAUCAGGUUCGACACCACUUCAGGAUCUGGCUUAAAAAGAAGUCCCACCGAAACAUUGUUCCAUGUUGCAUGAAGCAACCCACUACCGUCGCCAGGUCUAGAGCAAGCACCACCUUCAAAUGUGCUGCUCACCCUAGCUAAAUAGGGGCAUUAAAAUAUUUCUCGCAUAUCCUUCUCAAAUUAAACAAAAUCGCAACAUCUGAAAAUUUUUACAGAAAACCAUGAAACAUAUCGAUUAGAUAGAUGUAACAAGAUGGAAUAUGGUAUAUGCAACAUAUAGGUUCCGAAAAGCAGAUGAAAUAUUAUGUAAUGAUUCUUGAAACAGUCAAGAAAAAUAGAUGUAACAUCUAAAAUUAAGAAAAGAAGCUUUAUGCAAAUUGCAAAAAGCUGAAACAAGUGGUUGAAACAUUUCAAAUCACCAAAUGCCACAUUUGAAAUGACCAGAUGAAACAUCACGAAAUCAAUUGCAACAGUUGAAGAUGAAAACAUUCAAAUGCCUUGCCUUUCUCCAAAUUUGACCCUCCAAGCAUGAGUCCAGCCAUUUGCACAUUAGACCCUUGGGAGGAGCUCACCGGAGAACAACAAGACCGUGUUAUCCAACAAUUUUCAGAUCAAAUUGCAACAUAAAGAACAAAGCAUUGCAACAUCUGGCAUCACGAGCUACAACAGCAACCAGUUAGGAUCAGGAGAAAGAGGGCAAACACAAGCCUAACAAUGAGUUAUAUCCGGUUUAAACAAGGAUAAAAAUGAGUGUAUUUUACACUCAUCAUGUUGUCUUUUCGCAGCUGUACCGCCUUUAGCGUGUUGUAUUGUUCCUAACACCAAGUCUCCGAGGCCCGAAAAAAUAAGGAAAGUGGUAGCAGCUCAGAAAUCGACUAAGUUUCUUUCCCCCUUUGGCUUUCCUACUAGGAUUCGGAAUCCUCUUUCGUAUGACAAUCUUAAUGAUCUCCCAUAGUCCAAAACUCACAAAAACAUCAAAAAUCCACCGAGAAUAAAUUAAGUAAAAAAACAUGCACACACAGAUAAUAAUAGUAAUCAUGUUUCAUUAUGAUUGCUAAGGUCAGACACAAUACAUAAACAUAUUAGACUGAGUGACCCACCUCACCUCAGAGUAUGCACCAUGUCUGAGUGACCCACCUCACCUUGCCAGGACACUGGUCCUGCCCUCGUGGUUCACGCGCCCUCGUGGUUCAGCAGUGGUCAGUACACAAAUCUAGCUGCCAGUCGGAUCCAAGGGCAGGCAUUUGCAUUGUGGUUGUGUUUGAACAUGGAGAUGUCAUUAUUAUUGUCAGGCACCAUACAUCCUCUCUCAGUUUCACUCCGCCUCACACACGGAUAGCACACCAGGGACCCGACACCAUGCAUGCCGAUUUCAUAUUAUUAAUAUUUAAUUUUUUUAAUGGUUGUUGAAACUAUAUUGUUGAUAUUUUUAUACAUAAUUUACGACCUAAUUUGGAUAUAUUUUUGAAAUAUUCCGAAAUCUUAAAUUCACACGUCUAGAGAUACAGUUAGUCCAAUCUGAUGUUUCCGAUUAUAAAAAUGAACAUAAAGAGAUAGGAAGCGAGAGACGUGAGGGGGAAAGUUAAAUUAGGGCCUAAGGGGUGAAGUUAGGGUUCCAGGUGAGCUGUCAUCACUACGUGUUUUUAAUCGAAAUUGGAAUGUCAGCAAUCGUCAGAUCUUGAGCCAACAGUUGAGACUGCCUCGGAAUGGUAAUUAGGUCUGCGCGAGCUUGCAUUGUGGCCUUCCUUGAAACCUUGGACAUAGGUGUUAUAUUAUUAUGUUCUUGCCAGCACACAGCAGUGAAGGACGACACAGUUGAGAUGUGCAUCACAUUUUCUAUAUGAAGGAUAUGUUUAGCAAACCUAAGAUUUUAGAAUAAAAAGAAAAAUCAUGGGAGCCAAAGCGCCACAUAGUUCUUCCAGGUAAAAAAAAAUCAUCCACUGGACCAGCACAUAGUAACGAUCCAAAAAGUCCAUAUUAAGAUUUUUUGAUAGCAGAAAAAACAUAAAAUGUCUAAUAUUUGUAGUAUUAAAAGGAAAAAUAAUAUAUUCACGUGACCUUUUUCCCGUAGCAAGGCACCGGUACGUGGUCAGACUUAAUGCACGAUGCCUAAGCAUCCAUUGGGCCUACCCUCGUGUGGAUCACGCGCAACAGGACACGGCUCACAAGCUAUGAUGUGCAGCAGUCGCUCAGAUGGCUGAAAGGUACCCUUAAUUUGAAUGGUACCAUAUAUAUAUAUAUAUAUAUAUAUAUAGUAAACAAGACAAACCACCGUUGAUACUACUUUGCACUACUUGAUACAUAUAUCUCCACCAAAAGCGAGGCACGUGGGGAGGAGAGAUAUGUGGUUGAUGGUGCGGGCACGUGGCGAGUGCACCGUACGAAAAUUUUGCUCGUGUCGGACGACUGAUGUGAAGCAUUACCCAAUCUUAAUUAUCUCCCAUAAUCCAAAACUCACAAAAACAUCAAAAAUCCGCCGAGAAUAAAUUAAGUAAACCAUGCACACACAGAUAAUAAAAUUGCUAAUAAGGCCAGAGACAAUACAUAAACAUAUUAGACUGUUCAUGACACAUAUCACGGUGGAUAGUGUCUGUGUCCUUAUUACAAGCAAUGAGAGAUGCUUGUCACCACACACACGCGCACAGAUGCACAACAUACAUAUAGUUGAGACCAACAGAUGGAUCAACUAGAGGUCACCCCAUAUGGUGAACAAUUUAUUGGAGAUAAACAUUAACAUAACUUGGCCAUAGCUUGAAGCAUAGCAACAUAUGCCUAUGAACGGCGUUCAUGCUAUCAUUUUAGGCUUGUCCGCUUCUUCCAUCUUAGCAAGCACUUCCAUUUCUACCAUCUUAGAAGCAACUGUCAAAUUGAGAUAUGGAAAUCCCAUUAGCGCAUGAGUUAAUUUUGCAGUGAAAAUAGAGUACAAGAUAUCUUCAUGAUGUAAGUAACAUGCCUGAAGUUGUGAGAUGGGAAGUGAAGUCAACAAAUUACAUUAACGGAAAUGCAUGGAAGGCCACACAUACGUAUUAGUCCAUGAUAUGCUACAAAGCUUGUAUGUACAUAUAGCAAAUUAAAUGCAUUAAUUGAAUAGAGUGAGUUUAGUGAAUUUACCAGAAUCGUCCAGAAAACAUGGGAAACAGCAAGUGUUCUUGCAGACUGCGUCGGUGCCACCCACAGCAAUACAACCAAAACAACAUGCUUUUGCCCGAGCGGCUGCGCAGCAGCCGCACUCUGCCGCGGUGGCCGAGUUAGCAUUGAGGCUCAAGAUGACCAGGCACAUGAUCACCAUCAAAGCGGUGGUAGUCCUCUUUCCCUCCAUUGCCUCCUCUUGCUGCUACCUUCCUUGGUUACCUAGCUAAGUUUAUUGGUUUUGUGUUGAGAGGUGAUUCUUGCAUUGAAUGGACGUUGCCGCGGCUGCAAUUUAUAGGCAGCUGCGCUAUGUGAUGAUAUGGACAAGGUGCAAAUGGGUGGUCCUGAUAUGGAUAAGGUGCAUGCGAAUGGCUGUCUACUUGUAUAGUGGCGCUCCAAUGUACAUACGUAUGUAUCUUAUGCAUGUAUACAGUUGAUGGAUGUACAUGUUUGUUGCACAAAUUAUUCUGAACCAACUCUUCAUAACAGGUCUUUGUUACCAAGUAAUUUUACUUUUGCACGUUUCAGCCGAGAGGCAGAAGAGAAUAUUUUACAGAGAGGGCAGAGAAGGAGGUUGGCGGAGGCGCCGUGGUAGGGUUCCCCGUGUCGCCAAGAUUUUUGCAUUUUAGAUGUGUGUAUUGAUCACUUCGUCGUGCUCGCGGGGCCCAACUCCAGGUUGUACCCCAGCAGACCACGUUCUGUUUCUCUGCCUCCAAUGAGCAUGCAUGCCUCCACAAGGACCACAAGACUUAGUAAAAAAGCUAAACUUUGCAACACGAUGUAUACAGAACGUUUUGAAAUGUACUCUCGUUAGGCAUUCACCUCCUUAACAAUCACUGCGACUGUAAAAGAGGUACAUCGACGCUAGCUAAAUAAACCACUAUAAGAUUUAGCAAGAGAUCAUUUUAUACAAUCCUGUAACGAAACAAUUUGACAAUUAUAGUGUCCAUAUAUUUUGACAAAAAAACGUUUAAAUUAUAUAAGGAGGUGGGCCCGAAAACGGUUGGAUUACAUCGAGAACGUUUUGAAACAGUUGGCGGAGCAGGAUUCUGGCGUGGAGCAUCUACAUUGUCGCGCGCGCGGACUGCCGGAGUAGGCACGCUCGACUUGUCCCAUCGCCAGCUAAAUGAUUUAGUACCGGAUGGUCUCUAGUACCGGUUGGAGCUACCGUCCACCAGGAGCUUUUCUAGUUUGGAACUGGUACUAAUGCUAAUAUUAGUAUCAGGUCAAAAACAAUCGGUACUAAGGCUAGGGAUGACACGUCAUUUUUCUAGUAGUGUGUGCAAUUGGUUUUGUAAUUAGUCUAUAUUUAAUACUUCUAAUUAGUAUCUACACAUUUUAUGUGACAGGGACUGAACUUUAGUCCGUGGAACCAAACACCCCAUAAGUAUGUUUGGUGCUGUAAGGAUUUCGGUUUUAUUUAAUUUCCUAGGCAUUUAAAUUUCUUUCUAAAAUAAGUUAAUGAAUCAUAGGAUCUCAUUGUUGUAUUCAAGCUGGUGCAUUGAUUUUGCCUAUAAAACCCGCCGCGGUCUUCGCAGCCCCCAUCAAACCCUAGCGCCCUUGCCACAAGCUCAGCACCGCUGCCGCCCGAGCUCGAGCACUAGCACCCACCCAUCGCCGUUGCCUUCCCGUCGAUGGGAUCACCGCCCGGAGCUUCGCAUCGUGGUAAGGAAGCCGCCCGUGAAGAUCCCAUGUGCUCCUAUGCCCUCUACCGCGUCCCCGAGUUCCCGGAGUUGCUAGUCUCCCACCGAGCCGACUCUCCGAGCUUCACGUCACUGGUGCCGCUCCGAAGACCUAGUUCGGUUCGCCAUGCACCUCGCUUCAUCCUGAGCUAAACCCCAUAAUGAAUGGUGGUCGGAUGCUCGCCGCCACGGCGCGUCGUCUUUUCUGUCGCCCGUGCAUUGCCUAUCCCCUUCCAGCCGAUUGCAGCUGUCCGAUCGCAAACCGGUGGCCCUGAUCGGAUACCAAGGUCAAUACCGGUCGAACCGAGCCGUGCGCUGCUUUUGCAAGAAGGCCCCUGUUUUUCUCUCUUUUUGCACCUGAGGUCCUACGCAGUUCAAAAGUAAUAAGAUCUAGGUCCUUUUUCUUUUGUUUUAGCCCGUGUUCUUUUAUAAAAUCCCGCCCACUAUUCUGUUUGGUCUUUUGACGCGUUAGACCUUCUUUUUAUAUGUUUAAUUAGGUUUUAGGUCUCGAUUUCUUUAAGUUUAGCCCUUGAAAGUUUAGUUCUCUCGCAGUUAAGCCCCUGAACCUUGUUUAGCUCAUAUCUUAAGCGUUUUAAAUCCGUUUUAACAGAUUCUUGCGCCUAUAAGUUCAUGUUGACGCAUAGAUUAGUUGACUUAUACGAACCUUGCUGAUUCAGCUCCUUGAUUGUGCUUCAGAUCUCGCUAGGGAAGAAUAAUGGAUGGGCUUUGGUUGAGCUUGUAGAUCGACUUGCAGUUGCAGUGAAUGAGCAGAGGAUUGGCAGUGAAUAAGAUCAGGCCGCUGCCCUGCUUGGUAGGGAAAAUAUCUGCUUGCUACCAAGGCCUGUGACGCAUGGACCCCAUUGAGAGUGCAUUAUUGACAAGGACUUAAAGCCAAGGGCUCCACACCUGUCAUUGAUCAGCUGUCUGCUGGGCGCUGCAAGGAGGUAGUGCAUGUUUGACAUAAAGAAGCAGGUGGCCCAGGAUUUACGAAAAAUAAGGAUCUAUUUGAUACCCUUGCUUAUAUUUAGGGGCUAAAAGUUGCUUAUUUGAAGUUGCUUAUUUUUAAUCCUAGCUGUUUGAUUGCAUGGGCUAAAGAGCAUUGAAUGAGGUGGAUAUUGUCAUGUUUGCCUCUAAUGAUUGCUUCCCAUCACAUUUCUCCCCCCUCAUUCAACGAGGGAAGGAGGUGUAAAGUGCACCUUUUAGCCCCGAUAAGUAACCCUUGUGUUGUUUACGGGCUGAACAUAAGUAGCUAAAGUUUAGCUCCAAUAAACAAGAGUGUUUGGUAUUUUUGGGGUUAAAAGGGGCUAAACUUUAGCUGCUUAUGCAUAAGCAAGGCCAUCCAAAUAGGCCCUAAGUAUGUUUGGCGUUGUAAGUAGGUUUUAUUUAAUUUCCUAGGCAUUUAAAUUUCUUUCUAAAAUAAGUUAAUGAAUCAUAGGAGUUCAUUGUUGCAUUCACGCUGGUGCAUUGAUUUUGCCUACAAAACCUGCUGCCGUUUCCGCAGCUCCCAUCAAACCCUAGCACCCCCGCCACGAGCUCCAGCGCCGCUGCCGCCCGAGCUUGAGCACUAGCGCACACCCAUCGCCGUCGCCUUCCUAUCAAUGGGAUCACCGCCCGGAGCCCGUGUCAUGGUAAAGAAGCCGCCCGUGAAGAUCCCGUCCACUCUCGUGCCCUCUACCGCGUCCUCGAGUUCACCGGAGUUGCCAGUCUGCCACCCAGCCGCCUCUCCGAGCUUCAUGUUGUCGUUGCCACUCUAGCUGCCUCUCUGAAGACCUAGAUCGGUUUGCCGUGCACCCCGCUUCAUCCUGAGUUAAACCCCAUCAUGCCACGUCAUAGUAAGGAAGCUGCUCAUGAAGAUCCCGUGCGCUCCCGUGCCCUCUACCGCGUCCCCAAGUUCACUGGAGUUGCUAGUCCACCACCGAGCCGCCUCUCCGAGCUUCACUUCACAGUCGCUGCUCCAGCCACCACUCUGAAGACCUAGAUCAGUUCGCUGUGCACCCCACCUCAUCCUGAGCUAAACCCCAUGACGAACUGUGGUCGGAUGCUCAUUUUCGAGUGAAUUCCGGCGAGAUGGUCGCCCGCCGCCGCCAUCUCCAUCGCCCAUGCACCGCCUGUCCCCUUCCAGCCGAUGUCCGAUUGCAAACCGAUAGCCGAAAUCGGAUGUGGUCACCAGGAUUAAUACCAGUCAAACUAAGCCACGCGUGCCGCUUUUGCAAGAAGGCCCCUAUUUUUCCCUCUUUUUGCACUUGAGGUCCUAUGCAGUUCAAAAGUAAUUAGAUCAAGGUCCUUUUUCUUAUGUUUUAGCCCUAUUCUUUCAUAAAAUCCCGGCUGCCAUCCUGUUUGAAAUAGAUACGGUUAUAGAUAUGCAAACAUCUGCAUAUUUCCAACCGUAUCUCUUUCGAACGGGAGACGCCUAACUAGGUUACGUGACAUACGAACAUCAUACGGAUAGAGAGGGGUAGGAUGUCUCACCUUGCUAUCCUACAAAGUGACGACUCGAGGACAGUAAUGUAGCCUCUCCUUCAAAAAAAGAACAUACUACUAUCAAGUUAAAUUUUUGACAGCACCUCCCCUGCACGUGGAGGUUUCCAUAACCUGCAUCAAAUAAAACGGCACGAUGGCUGACAACCACAUCUACAGCACCAGAAUGGCACGAUGGCCGACUUCCACAUAAAGUUCUUAUACCUUAGAUUGCCAAGUCAAACAUCCUUUUCUAAUUUCUAAAACAAAAGCCCUCCCACCUCUCUAUCUUAUACUUUCCUAUUUACUAAUUGCUUUUGUAAUUUCUAAUUUCUAUUUCAUCCUACCACCUCUGUACCCUUUUCUCAUUUCUAAUUCCAAUUUUCUAACUUGAAGAGCAAAGAUUGAUUACUAGGAGGGGUGAGGGACGCCGGCCUAGAGAGGCGAGGGGACGUCCGGCGGCGGCGGGUGCGUCGGGGGUAGGAUGCCAGGGGCGGCUGCAGGGGCGCCGGGUUGGGGGCGGCCGGGAUCGAGGGCACCAGUAGCGGGGGCACCGGGCCGGGGGCGGCCGGCGGGGCGGGACGCCAGGGCCGGGGCGACGGGCGCCGGUGGCGAGGCCGCCCGGCCGGUGGUGGCCGGCGUGGCGCCUGGGCCGGGGGGGGGGGGCGGGCGGGGUGCGGCGCGGCGCGCCGGGGCAGGGCGCCGAGGCUGGGUGGUGGGGUACGGGGCGGCGGGCGGGGGGUGGGGGGAGGGUCGGCGGCGGGGCGCGGGGGCGGCCAGCGGCGACGGCGGAGGGCGUCGGUGGUGUUUCGGAAGUGAUACGGAGGGGGUAGAGAGAUUCGUUUUCGCGGCUGAGUGUUCGAGUCAGAAGGCCGUGCGGCUUAAGUCAGGUGGUUUGCCGAGUGCGCGCGAUCUGGCACUCGGCAAAGUCAGAAGUUUUGCCGAGUGUCAGAUCGCGGGCACUCGGCAACUGCAGCUUUUGUCGAGUGCCCUGGAUUCGGCACUCGGCAAAGUGAAGUUUUAAUUUUUUUUAAAAAAAUUUAAUCGGAACACGGGCGUGCCAGCGGGCCCGUGACAUACUUUGCCGAGUGUGUAGCAAAAACACUCGGCAAAAUAUUAUCUUUACCGAGUGUUUUCGCUAGGCACUCGGCAAAGUACACUUAUAUUUCAUGUACACUUUUUCAAUAACGUGUUUUACUAACCUUUUUCUGAUAUACUUGGGAAAAACCUUAUCAAAUUCACUCAACAAUGGAUAUAUGGUUUUUCUACUGACAUUAUUCCAUUAUUUCAUUCAGUUAUAGCUCAAAUUGAAUUUAUAUCUAUUAAAAAUCAAUAAUUGCAUUUAAUAAAUAAAAAAUACCAAACGGAUCUGAAAAAUUUCCAAAAUUUGACAUGAACCAAUCUAUGUUGUAUGUUGCCUGUACAAAAAGCUUUGAAGUCAAACCCCAAUUCAAGUGUCACUUGGACUCCAAAUCUUAUCGGAUCCUUUCUAACUUCUAUGAAUCCUUUCGGGAGAUGAGUCGGUUUGUAAGCAUCAUAUGUCAUAAAUUGGGCGAAACCUUCUCAAUUUUUUACCACAGCCUCCACAUAUAAUAUCAUGACACCUUGACAAAUCUUGUGAUUUUCAGACUUCGUUUGCUUUUUUUAGAAUUUAACAACCAUUCAACCACAUGUUCGUGAUCGUGUUUUCUAAAAAAAUGUUCAAAAUUUCUUUUCAUUUCCUGGUUGAGACCUCAAUCCGGAUUGAAUAAUAUGAAUAUGAUUUUUUCACUGAUUUUAAUCCAUUAUUUAAAUCACUUGCAGUUAAAUUUGACUUAAAUAAACAAAUUCCUAUUAAUGCUAUCAAUUCAUUAAAAAUAGCAAACAGAGAAAAAAUAGACCAACUUUUAAGAUGGAUUACCAAAUGUCAUAUGUGGGGAGUAGAAAAAGUGUGGAGAGCAGAGGUGGAAAAAAAAGUUUUGCCUUUGCCAAGUGCCUACACAAACACUCAACAAACUUUGCGGAGUGCCUAUUGAAAACACUCAGCGAACUUCUGAGUUUGCCGAGUGUCUGGAGGGAGCACUCGGCAACCUACUUAUUUGCCGAGUGUCCGCGUCGGACACUCAGCAAAGUACUAACGGCUGGCACACUCCCCUAACGGACGGCGCACGUGCAAGCCAUGUGCUGGAGAUUUAUCGAGUGUCAAAUCGUUGCCGAGUGUCGUGUGGAUGUUUGCCGAGUGUCUUAUUUGUGACACUCGGCAAAGCUAUUGUUUGCCGAGUGUAUUAUUUAUGCCGAGUGUCUUCCAGUAUACACUCGGCAAAUGAUGUCUUUGCCGAGUGCUCGACAUAAAGCACUCGGCAAAAAUUUUACACUCGGCAACAUUCCUGUUUCCGGUAGUGAGUGACCCGGGACUAAAGACCCCCGUUGUCUCUGAUUGCUUUAUUCCGGAUGGAUUUUCAGGAGAUUUGCUCCCUACCAAUAGGGACUAAAGGCAAGUUUUCCACUUAUAGCAAACCAGUUAGCCCAUUGUUGAUGGAACGCAUCACUAGAAACAGCUCGGGAUCCACUUGUCCAAUAAUCGAGAGGGCCUAUAUAUGGACCACGUGUGCGGAUCCCUAAUUAGGAAAAAAGAAUAAUGGAGUAGGACAUCUCCAUGCUCACCUAGUAGCCGCUGCUAGCUUGUGCGUGUGGAACACGAGUGCCGGCCCAGUUGGCGCUAAGACAUCGUACGUGCAUUAAGGCUACGAUCUCUUUCUUCUAACUCAUGCUUGUGCUAUUAUACAUUAUUGCAUGAUCAUCAAGAUAAGAUCGUAUAGUGACUGAGUGAGACAUGUAUGUACUAACAUGCAUUUAAGCCUCGAACUGUGUGUUGUUACGUGAGCUGCCUCCUCACCUCGCCUCUGAAUUAUUGAACCGUUUCCAACAGUGUUGGUCUCAAAUAAAUUUGACACCAAACAGAUUUAUGAAGAAGAGAGAAUAAUACUUGGAAUUGGAAAAAGUUUAUCUCUCUUUACAAUGGAGUAGGGCUCCCUUUUAUAGUGACCCAUAAGCCACUUUACAUUUGGAAAAUGUCCUUCCUCAACCACUACAUUAAUUCCUAGGAUAUGCUGUACAUAAAGGUCAUUUGAGGUAACGUGUACAAAUGAACUCUUCCACAUGGUCACGUUUCUCAUGCCUCCUGUUUUCCAACCUCGAGACAUCAUCUUCACGCCAAGUUGAUCAUCUAGCCUCGAGGCUCCAUCCACGAUCCAGAAUGAACGUCCAGGCUUGAGGCUCCUUCUUCGUUAAGCUUUGUUGAGAACUCAUAACCUCACAUAGUUCUCCUCCGAGUAUUGUUCCCGACUCAGAACACUCGAGGUUUAGCUCAGUUGGAGUUUAGCUAUUACUGUUGCUAGUCACCAGCCUCGAGCCCCUCCAGAAGCAAGGUGAUGCGAGGGUACGAGUUUUACUAUUAAAGGUGUUUCCAUAGAAUGUGCGAGGUUAAAGCACUUGCAGCAAAAGCGUGGAGCUGCUUUCAACCAGAGUGCAAUAAUGCAGCCGUGCCCAUCUUGGUCUUGGUCUCCGCCUGAACUAUAGCAGAUGCUGGCAGCGGUAGCAGGGUGGUCCAUUAUAUCUAUGGAUGGCAAUGGUCGGAUUCGGAUGGAAUCGAAUUCGAAUAGCACUUUUUACCACAUACUAAUUCAAAUCCGAAUUCGGAUUCGGAUGUUCUCGAAUGCGAAUGCAAAAUGGAUGGUUCGAAUUCGAAUACUUAGCGGAUUUUUGCAUAAUAUUAAUCGAAUAGAAUUCAUUAAAUUUAGCCAAGAAAUUAAAUUUUCUGAAAUUAAAUACUUUCCCUUCGCCCCAGCGGCGGCCUAACUCCCAGGACGGUGGCGUGCGGGGCCCGAGCAUCCCUGGCCUCUAGUGGCGUGGCGGGGCGGCAUCCAGCAGCAGCGGCGGGGCUCGGCCUCCGGUGGCGCGCGGCCAGCCCGACCUACCCGGUCAGAGGUGGCGCAGCGGUGCGCGGGCCUCCCCGACCAGAGCCGGUGGGGAGCGGUGCGCGGGGAGGACCUCCCCAGCCGGAGGUAGCAGGGCGCGACCUCCCCGGCCGGAGGUGGCUCCCUGUGGGGGCGCGGCCGUGACAGCUAGCGAGGCAAUAAUUGCUUCCGUACGCAGCAAUAAUUGCUUGUGCGACACCGUGUUAUUACUCUGGUACAGUACUCCCUCCGUUGCAGUACACUGGUCCAGGCGUCAGGACACUGCUCCUGCCCUCGUGGUUCACGUGCAUCAGGCCAGCAGACAAGCUAUGAUGUUGCCAACAGUGUUUGUUUGAACAUGGAGAUGUCAUUGUGAUUGUCAGGGACCCGACACCAUGCAUGCCGAUUUCAUAUUCUUAAUAUUUAUUUUUUUAAUGGUUGUUGAAACUAUAUAGUUACUCCAAUAUCACGUUUCCGAUUAUAAAAAUUAACAUAAAGAGAUCGGAAGGGAGAGCCCGCAUAAUGAAGCCGACGCGUAUAAUAAGCACUAGAGCCGGCAUUUAUACAAACGGGUACGCAUAGUAAAAACUAGAAUUUAUAAAUAAAUGAAGAUAUUCAAAUAUCUGGCUUACUUUUUUCAUUAAUUUUGCAUGAAUAAGGGAUGAUUCAUUAAUCAUUAUUGAACAAAUUGGCACACAUGCUUCGUGCCCGCGUUGUGAGCAUUAUGCGAUGCCACUGAGCUGCACCACCACGGUAGAGGGCCUGUUUGCGAUGCCACCGAGCUGCACCACCACGGCAGAGGGUCUGUUUGGGAAGGGGAAGUUAAAGUUUAACACCCCCCAUUUAACACCUUUUUAACAAAAUGGCUGCUAAACACUUGUGUUAAAAGAGUAGUGUUAAAAUUUAACACCUCUCUUUUCAUAAACACAUGGAGGGGGUGUUAAAAUUUGCUAAAUGUGUUAAAAGUGGUCCCCUCCCCACUUAUUCCUUGGUUGCCCCCCUCUCUCUCCUCCUCUCUCUCCUACCCGCCGCAUUUAAGAGCAUUAUUGAGGGGUAAUGCAGUCCUUUUCCAACAAAAGUGUUAAACUUUAACAACCCUUCCCAAACAUGCCACAAGCAACACCACCGGCUGACUGUGCUAGCGGGGAGCACCCUCACCGCCUGCCCGUGGGGACUUCUUCUGCCGGCCAUCGUGUCUUUGUAGGACCGCCGCGUGAGCCUAUGAGCCACCGGUGGCCGUGCGCCCAAGGGCCAUCACCAUGCCACCUGAGGAUGCUGUCUACCCGGUGCCGCGUGCCUCUGCUAGCUGCUUGCACCUGGGCCGCCGCUGGUCGCCUGCACAGCCACGCGUUACAGCCGCCCCCCUGCGCUGGGCCACCCCAUUUCGUGUUGGAAGAACUGCCACAGUCUCGCGCACUGGGGUUUUGCUAGUGACGACCAUAGCCUCCAAGAUCAAAUGAAAAAGUUGGUACUCAAAACAUACAUCCAUUAAUCUAGUCGUGCUAAUCCUUACCACCAAAUAAAAACUAGCAUGUGUUGUGUUUUUGUGACCCUAAACGAUCACAAAUGAAUAACUUAUGGGCGUUGCUAGCCUAUAAGUUAUGGGCGUUUGUGACCCUAGUCGCGCCGGGGUCUUGCUGGUGACAACCAUGGUCUUCGCGAUAAAGUAUUAAGUCUCAUCGAGUUCUACAAUUUUGAUAUAAAAUUUCUAUUCAUCCGAGAUCAAAUGAAAAACAAAUGAAAAAAUCCGAAGUAUUAGGCUUCAUCGAGCUCUACAAUUUUGAUAUAAAAUUUCUAUUCAUCCGAGAUCAAAUGAAAAAAUCCGAGAUCAAAUGAAAAGUUGGAACUCAAAACAUACAUCCAUUAAUCUUGAUAUAAAAUUUCUAUUCAUCCGACAUCAAAUGAAAAAGUUGGUACUCAAAAUAUACAUCCUUUAAUCUAGUCGUGCUAAUCCUUACCACCAAAUAAAAAAACUAGCAUGUGUUGUGUGUUUCUGACCGUAAACGAUCACAAAUGAAUAACUUAUGGGUGUUGCUAGCGUCCCGGACGCUAGCAUCGGACGCAUGAGCAGCCGUCCGAUCGGGUCCGACACCACUUCACGAUCUGUCUUAAAAAAAAGUCCCACCGAAACAUUGUUCCAUGUUGCAUGAAAUACCCCACUAUCCAUCGCCAGGUCUACAGCAAGCACCACCUUCCAAUCUGCUGCUCACCCAAGCUAAAUAGGGGCAUUAAAAUUGCAGAAAUAUGUCACAUAUCCUUGUCAAAUUAAACUAAAUCGCAACAUCCGAAAAUUUCUUACACAAAACCAUGAAACAUAUCGAUUAGAUAGGUGUAACAAGAUGGAAUAUGGUAUCCAACAUAUAGAUUCCGAAAAACAGAUGAAACAUUAUGUAACGAUUGUUGAAACAGUCGAGAAAUAUAGAUGUAACGAUUAAAAUUUAGAAAAGAAGCUUUAUGCAAAUUGCAAAAAGCUGAAAUAAGUGGUUGAAACAUUUCGAAUCACCAAAUGCCACAUUUGAAAUGGCUACAUGAAACAUCACGAAAUCAAUUGCAACAGUUGAAGAUGAAAACAUUCAAAUGCCUUGCCUUUCUCCAGAUUUGACCCUCCAAGCAUGAGUCCAGCCAUUUGCACAUUAGACCCUUGGGAGGAGCUCACCGGAGAACAACAAGACCGUGUUCUCCAACAAUUUUCUGAUCAAAUUGCAACAGACAAAACAAAGCAUUGCAACAUCUGGCAUCACGAGCUACAACAUCAACAAGUUAGGAUCAGGAGAAAGAGGGAAAACACAAGCCUAACAACCCCAAGACAAAACUGAUGUACUCAUCAUACAUCACGGCUUGCCGUGCACAGAGAUGAAGGCCGCCAAGCUCAAUCGAGACAGAGACGACGUGAUAGUGCUCCAGAUCGACGGUCCCCAUCAAUUGUUGCGUACACUGCCAAAAGCAAUGGAAGAAGAAGGGUCGUCCCUGCUCGACCUCCGUAGAUGAGCGCAGAUUGGGGGAAACCGUAUAGAGUGCCGCUGACAGCACAGGCGAGGGGGCUCAGGCUUGAUUCAGGGUGAGGGUAGCGGGUAGCAUGAGGAGACAGUCAGGUUUCAUAGGAGAGAGGCGGAGUAGAGAGCUCUGGUGACUCGGUGAGGAGGGUGCGGCACGGAGAAAGGUGUGUAGCUGAAGGAGCUACAUGGUUGGGGCGAGGCGAGCGUAGAGACUAGAGAGGGAAAAAAAGCAUGGGGAGGAGACGAUAUGUGGUUGAUGGUGCGGGCACGUGGUGAGCGCACCGUAUGAAAAUUUUGCUCGCGUCGGAUGACUGAUGUGAAGCAUUACCCAAUCUUAAUUAUCUCCCAUAAUCCAAAACUCACAAAAACAUCAAAAAUCCGCCGAGAAUAAAUUAAGUAAACCAUGCACACACAGAUAAUAAAAUUGCUAAUAAGGCCAGAGAUAAUACAUGAACAUAUUAGACUGUUCAUGACACAUAUCACGGUGGAUAGUGUCUGUGUCCUUAUUACAAGCAAUGAGAGAUGCUUGUCACCACACACACGCGCACAGAUGCAUGACAUACAUAUAGUUGAGACCAACAGAUGGAUCAACUAGAGGUCACCCCAUAUGGUGAACAAUUUAUUGGAGAUAAACAUUAACAUAACUUGGCCAUAGCUUGAAGCAUAGCAACAUAUGCCUAUGAAUGGCGUUCAUGCUAUCGUUUUAGGCUUGUCCAGCUUCUUUCAUCUUAGCAAGCACUUCCAUUUCUACCAUCUUAGCAGCAACUGUCAAAUUGAGAUAUGGAAAUCCCAUUAGCGCAUGAUUAAUUUUGCAGUGGAAAUAGAGUGCAAGAUAUCUUCAUGAUGUAAAUAACAUGCCUGAAGUUGUGAGAUGGGAAGUGAAGUCAACAAAUUACAUUAACGGAAAUGCAUGGAAGGCCACACAUACGUAUUAGUCCAUAAUACGCUACAAAGCUUGUAUGUACAUAUAGCAAAUUAAAUGCAUUAAUUGAAUAGAGUGAGUUUAGUGAAUUUACCAGAAUCGUCCAGAAAACAUGGGAAACAGCAAGUGUGCUUGCAGACUGUGUCGGAGCCACCCACACGAAUACAAAGCUGACAACAUGCUUGUGCCUCGUGGGAUACGCAGCAGCCGCACUGUGCCGCGGUGGCCGAGUUAACAUUGAGGCUCAAGAUGAACAGGCACAUGAUCACCAUCAAAGUGGUAGUCCUCUUUCCCUCCAUUGCCUCCUGUCGCUGCUACCUUCCUUGGUUACUAGUAAGUUUAUUGGUUUUGUGUUGAGAGGUGAUUCUUGCAUUGAAUGGACGUUGCCGCGGCUGCAAUUUAUAGGCAGCUGCGCUAUGUGAUGAUAUGGACAAGGUGCAAAUGGGUGGUCCUGAUAU
rnacentral:lncRNA from 1 species